rnacentral:rRNA from 1 species
AUUCCAGCUCCAAUAGCGUAUAUUAAAGUUGUUGCGGUUAAAAAGCUCGUUGUUGGAUUUCUGUUGAGAGCGGCCGGUCCGCAUUUUGUGCGUGCAUCUGGUUCGGUCUUGGCAUCCUCUUGGGGAACGUGUCUGCGCUUCACUGCGUGGAUCGGUAUUCAAGACUUUUACUUUGAGGAAAUUAGAGUGUUCACGGCAGGCAAUCGCCUUGAAUAUAUUAGCAUGGAAUAAUGAUAUAGGACCUUGGUUCUAUUUUGUUGGUUCCUAGGACUAAGGUAAUGAUUAAUAGGGAUAAUUGGGGGCAUUCGUAUUGGAAGGUCAGAGGUGGAAUUCUUGGAUUCUUCCACGACGAACUACUGCGAAAGCAUUUGCCAAGGAUGUUUUCAUUA